UACGUAGGGGGCAAGCGUUGUCCGGAAUCAUUGGGCGUAAAGCGCGUGUAGGCGGCUCGGUAAGUCCGCUCUGAAAGUCCAGGGCUCAACCCUGGGAUGCGGGUGGAUACUGCCGAGCUCGAGUCCGGAAGAGGCGAGUGGAAUUCCUGGUGUAGCGGUGAAAUGCGCAGAUAUCAGGAGGAACACCUAUGGCGAAGGCAGCUCGCUGGGACGUGACUGACGCUGAGACGCGAAAGCGUGGGGAGCAAACAGG
rnacentral:rRNA from 1 species